CAGCGAUCACGCUCCUUGUGUGGAGCUGGCGCGUGCGCCUGUCGCAUCUUCAGUCUUUUUUCGUCCCCUCCCCUCCCCUUCUCCACUCUCCCUGCAUCUCUUCAUCCCCUUUCCGUUUGAGACAGAUCUAUCUCCUUACUUCCUGUUAUCUUAGGAAGAGUGCACCGCCUUGCCAGGAUUUAAUUUGUGUUAUGUUUAGUGAGUAUUUGCAGAGAGCUGCCUGUGUGUCCGGCCUGGUGGGGAAAGAGGACCCAAGUGUGGUCCACCCGCAGCUGCUCGGAGGCUGGGAGUAGCGUGUGAUCCAGCAGUGCCUCUGAGAUCCCCAAGCGCUCGGCCCCUGUGAACCUUCUGCUCUACGGUGGUCACGGCCCAGGCUGCUGGAGGGAGUUAGGAGUCGCCCGCUCCUCCUUCUGCCCUCCUGCGCGCUCCCCUGGGGCUGCAUGGGGAGCCCCACCCUCUGCCAGGGAAGUCUGUGCCUUGAGGUGCAGAGGACACCUGGGGCUGAGACAGUGACUCAUGUGUGCCCUGGGGCCAAGUUACUUCAUCUCCUCUGUUCUUCCUCUUUCAGAAUCUCGCAGCUAUAAAGGAUCGGUGGUGCGGUUACUGCAGAGCUGUAACGCGCCUGUGCACGCACGUGUGCGCGUGUGCGCUGGCCUUGCUGUUUAAUAGGGUGCUAAGGCAGCGGGGGGCUGCGCGGCCGCCCCCAGCCCCUCACGUGUGGCUCUCAUUACUGUCGGAGGCGUCAGCUCGGCCGUCAUUAGGAGCGGUUCCCACAUCCCAGCGCCUGCGCCCUGGCUUCGUGGCAGGGAGCCCAGGCGGGCCAAGCAGCCAGGCAUCGAAGGGACUCGGCGGGUUUCCACUUGGCUGAGCAGAAGAUGAAUGAGGCUCUGUCCCCCACAUGGGGUCUGGAAUCUUCAAUUACGGCAAUUACAUCAACAGGCCCUCCGCUGGAGAGGUCUGGGCUUCAGAGAAAACUCCUAAAGCCACUGGAUUUUCCCUUUCUUUUAACGGCACUGGGUUGAUGAAAGGAGACCCCAGCUCCCGUCUAAUUGGGCCCUGGGUGGCGAAGGAGGGUGGUCGUGAUUUCUCACAGGAUCUGGUGCUUUGUCUCAGGAUCUCCAGUCCACGGAGCCUCAGGACAUCGGGAUGGCCCUUGUUUGGUGUCAGAAGACCCGGCUCCAGUCACUUUGCCUCUCUGAUCCUCAGUGCCCACAUCUGUAAAAUGGGCAUAGUGCAUACCAAGACCCCCUCCUCCUAAGGCCUCAGAGACUCCGAACGCUACCCAGAUCCAGACCCACUGGCAGCAGCAACCACCCGUGGCUCUCAGCAGGAGAACACACGCUCCGGUGCACCCCAAAGGGGCAGCUUCCACCCUGGAGCAGCAGGAGUGGUUCCUGAGGGGCUUCUCGUCAUGAAGGCUCUGCCUGGCCGAGGCCGAGGCACCCGGCGUGGACAGGCGGCCUCAGUGUGGUGACACCAGGGUUUCUUCUCAACACAGCUCUCUGAGAAAGGGAUCCUGACCUGGCCGUGUGCAACAGCAGCACUCCAUGGGACCGGCCCUGGGCGGGGGAGAGCAGAGAGUUGUGAACCGCAGAAGGGAGGUGACGCCCCUCGCAGCUGCCCACGCUUUUCCAGCCCCAGGACAGCACACUGCCACUCCUACCUGUGAGCAGGGUGCAGCUGUGGACUCCUUGCCGGGGCCUUUAGGAAAGGAAAUGUGAAAUAACUGGGGCUGUGAGUCCCUGCCCCAUUCCUCACCCUAACCUGGGAGGCAGCGAUGAUGCUAACUCUGCACAGACACCAGGCCUGCGCGCUCACACGGUGGGUCAGAGCGAGGCGUGGGAUUUACACUGCGGAAGUCCCAGUGAGAGUUUGCUGUUUCUUGCUGCCACUUUGUCUCUCUCUCUCUCUCUCUCUCACACACACACACACACACACACACACACACACACACACACACGCACGCACACACGGAAUGGCAGAGAAUUAUAGCCGGGCAGUCAGAUGGUGGACAAUGUGCUGCGGAGCUUCAGAGGCGGAGAGAGCACGUCCGGAUGGAGAGUAUGGGCAGCCCGGGGUGGGGCAGGAAGGAGGCGGCUUUCGUUUCUGGGUCUCUGAGAGGCCAGAGUUGGAUGUUGCGCUCUGAGUCUAGGUGGGUGGCUUCUCACACCUGGAGAACCAAAGGCAGAGUCAGUUUAGUCCACGCUCUUGGCUCAGUGCGUGCUAUUCCCACACCAGGGAAGUCUGGAGGGCUGGGGGUGGAGUGGAAGUGGUUUUCAACUCAGUUUGACCAAGGAGCUUUCCUGGAAUGGGCCCUGGGGAGAAAUCCGAUGCAGCAGGGUCGAUUAGGAGCUGGAUUUUACUGUAGAUUUGGCAUAGCCUGACUCCCGCCCGCCCCACUGCUCCCUCUCCCCCUACGCCCCCACCCCUGCUGCCUUGCCUGGGCCAGCUCCGUGUUGGGUGGUGGAGGGGGGCACGGGUUUUGGCUCCCUGGGGUCUCACAGGGAGGGAUAAGGUUGCAGGCCUCAGGGCCCCAGUGUUUGCCUAGAAACUCAAGAAGAAUCCUCCAGGAUGGGCAGAGGGAUGUGGGGUGACCCGUGGAGGGGUGUAGGUAACCCGAGUCAAAGAAAAUAAGCCCGCUACAUGGUGCAGGCACUCAGAGAGCAGCUCACAGGCUGCCAGGGGCGUGCGGCUACUGGGAGCGGGUGAUGGGUCAGGGCAGAGCCAGUGUGCCCUGGGCCCUGGUGGGCGGGCGUGUGCCCUGGCUGGGCCCCUACCCCUCCGGGUGCCCCAGCUGUCUGCACCUGGCCAUGCCAGCAGUUGUGUUCCUGAGCUGGCCCUGGCCACAGCAAGUUGGGCUUCACCGGCCAGCCUGCCCCUCCUCCCACUCGGGAAGGAGAGGCUGGGGACAGCUCUGCAGACCUCGGGUGGUUUGGAUCAAGCCAAGGAGCUGGAUGAGCUGGAAGCCACCCUGUGUCCAGUGCUUGCUGAGACCUGGUGGACCCCCGGCCCUUCUGAAUCCUUGGACAGUGGGCACAGUGCCCGAGUGCCUCCUCUGGGGCUUCACGGGGCAAGCACAUUCCCCUUCCCUUCUGGGCCACCACAGGGCUCAGGGCCAGUGGGACCUCAGAGGGCCCUGGGCUGUGGCUGCUGAGCCCAAUAGGCGGCCACCUGGGAAGCUGUGACAAAGGCACAUUCCAGGCUCCCAGCCCAGAAGCUCUGGAUGCCCAAGUUGGACUCCUCCCGCCCUGUGAUUGAUUCUGCAGAUCCCACGCUCAAGGCCGCCGUCCCCUGGGGCAGUGGAGCUCUGCAGUGCGUCAGCAGUCAGCAGCUUGUGCUUGGCAACCACCUUGCUCCUUGGAUUUACUGUUCUCAUUAAGGCCAGCUCCAGACCCGCCAGAGGCAGGGCGCCCUGCGCAUGUGCAGCCAGCCUUGAAGGCUCCCUAAGCCUGUGCAGGUCCCCUGAGGGGCAGGUUUGUGUGCUGGCCCUGUUCCCUGUCAUCCAGGGAAAGGGGGGCUCUCCUGGGUGGGCCACACCAUCCGAGUUGCCCAUAGCGGCCUUCAGGGUCCUUCCCGUGUAGAGGGAGCUGGGAACCAGGAAUGUGGUCACCAGGGCCCCAGUGCCAGGCGCUGGACAGAGAAGUGCAGGGAAGCACUUCCCAGCCCUCCCUGCAGGCACGAAAGCAUGCGUGUGUGUGUGCACACACACACAUACACACACCCAGGACAUCUCUCCGAGGAAACACUUUCAUUUUCAUUUCUACAUUUUGAGAAGAUGUCACAAAAAAGAUUGGCAGACCCUUUGGAACUGUCUGGGGGGUUGAGGGCGAAUGCUGGACCCUCCUCUCCUACACCCACCCAUACCCUGCACACGGAGGUCAGGGCAGGGGGGUCUGAGUAUCUGGGGUAACAGGCCACAGCACAUGGAAUGGGCCGCAAAGCGUCCAGAUGGCAACCACGUGUGCGUGAGUGUGCACGUGAGUGUGCUCUGUGGGCUCUUUGGAUCCACACUGGAGGACUCAGCCCCACUCAGCCAAUUGGAAGCAUUCGGGAGGAAAUGGGUCUGCAUUGGAGCUGCAGAGUUCUUCCUGGCCCUGUGUCCCACACAACACAGUGCAGUGAGGACUCCACAGAGCUGCCUUGUGCUUGGGACCCUGAGUGAUCCACGGGGAUUUACAGUGGGUGGGAGCUUGCACAGGUUGUACGAGAAUACCACGUCAUUUUAUUGAUUUAUCUGUUAUUUUUCAGAUGGGAUCUGACCACGUUACCCAGGCUGGUUUUGAAUUCCUGGCUUCCUGAGUAGCUGGGACCACAGGCACACACUGCCAUGCCUGGCUACUAUGCUGUCCGAUCCCCAGGAUGUGAGCAUCUGAGAAUCUUGGUGUCUGCAGGGGCCCUGGAGCUCCUCCAAAUACCAAGGUGACUGUGUAGGUGAAGAGGGAGAGAAAACACACAUGGUGUGUAAGUAAAGGGUAGUAUAGUAAAACAGAUACAGACAUUCUUCAUACUAUUUUUAGUUUUGCAAUUUUUUUUAACUAUUCAAAAUUUUUUUUGAAAUAAAAACAUUGAUAAAGGGUGUGUGGUUUAUUCAAGGACACAGAGCAAAGGGGCAGUUGGAUGAGUGGUUUCCUUGUCCAAGAACAUCCCGGCCACUUCUUAUAGUCUCUGGAUUUAUAUAUUUUAGACUCAGUGUCAAUGCCAGCUUCUCUGGCUUCCUAGUUCUGUGUGUCCAGAUUUCAUGUACUUGUCUUUCCCCUUAUUGUGGCAGAUCGAAGUGAAUUCUUUUUUUGGUUGUUGAGCUUUGCUUUUUUGAGGCAGGGUCUUGAUAUCUAGUGUAGGCUGAUCUUGGACACGUGGCCAUCCUUCUGCCUCAGCCUCCUGAGUACUGUGAUCUCAGGUGUGCACCCCUACACCCUGUUAAAAGUGAAUUGUUUUUUCUUUUUGGUACCAGGGAUCGAACUUGGGACCUUGCGCUUGCAAGGUAGGCAGCGGAACCACCGAGCUAAAUCCCUGGCCCUGAAGUGAAUUCUUUGACAUUUCAUUUAUUUUGCUUUUGCUGCCUGUCAGUUCUGUGUGGAUAGGGCCUUGUGUGUCUUGUUCCUGGCUGAACCCCAAGGGCAGAGCCCAGUGGCUGUAUUACCGUAGGUGCCCAAGAAAUAUUUACUGGAAGAGUUAAUGAGUAAGUGAAGGAGAGAGACGCAUGGCCUCUGCCAGGCCACCCUCUUUGCUGUUGUGGAGCAGCCAUGACACAGAGGUGACCUGUAUUUCACCUGUGUGGCCAUGGGGAGCAGGGGCCGGGGCGCUCCAGUCCAGGGCCGCCCAGGCCCUGUGACCAAAGUGUGCCCAGGACCCCGGGCAUGUUUAUGUUAAUUCUGAAUACCAAAUGCAUCCAUUUACCCAAAAUCCCCAAAGCGGAAACACACAGAGUAGGGCAUGGGCCCCUUCCACCCUGCCCUCUCUGCUCCCAGCUGCUCUUACUGGUGUUCAUUUUCUGAAGGGCCCUCCGAUGUAUAUUGUUUAUUUACUUAUUUAUUUUGUUUCUUGACACAGCGUCUCAAUGUAUCAUUCAGGCUGUUCUUGAACUCAUGAGAUAAUCCAGGCUGGGCUUGAACUUGCAGUGAUCCUCCUGCCUCAGCCUCCGAGCACUGUGAUUCCAGGUGUGCACCACCGUGGGUAGUUUAGGCGUGCACAACCAAAUCUGUGUGAGCGUGGAUGUCCAUGCACUCUGGUUGUACUUUGCCUUGCUCAUGUAAUGACAGGUCACGGCCCGAUUUGUUUCAUAAGAGUUCCUGAAAGUCUGUCUUUGGUUUCGUUGGGAUUGGUUUCCUUGGGGCUGCUGCGCAUAUAUGGGUGUCGGUGGGUAAGUGGAAAUGCCUACAGGUCUACGAUCGAAGGAGCCAGCUCCAAACCUUCCCUGCUGUGCUGGGAGCCUCCUGCUGCCACGGGGAGUGAAGAGCACUGAGGAAUGACAGAGCAAGAGGCAGGGACCUCAGAGCACCCAAGUCCGGCAUGGUGAUCACCAGCUGCCAAAUCCAACGUGGCUACGAAGGCAAAGUACUCUGCAGCUGACUCAACUGGAAGGCACAGGGAGGGAGCUGCCCAGGGCUCCCGGAAUGUCUGAUUACUCAUGGGGUUGCGACAGUGUGGUGAGCUCCAGGAGCGAGGCUUCCUUCCUGGAUGACCUCAGCCUGCUGGGUGAGUAAUGGAGCCGGGCUGGCAGAACUGGGUGGUCGGGUGUGGCUGGGGCUCUGAGAAGG
ensembl:lncRNA